GCCGGAGUGGUGGAAUGGCAGACACAGCGGACUUAAAAUCCGCUGCCCGCAUGGGCGUGAGGGUUCAAAUCCCUCCUCCGGCACCA
rnacentral:tRNA from 1 species